GCUAAGAAUCUUCCGCAAUGGGCGAAAGCCUGACGGAGCGACGCCGCGUGGACGAAGAAUGCCGAGAGGUUGUAAAGUCCUUUUAUUUGCGAAGAAUAAUGCCUGUAGGUAAUGACAGGCAGAUGACGUUAGCUUAUGAAUAAGCUCCGGCCAAUUACGUGCCAGCAGCCGCGGUAACACGUAAGGAGCGAGCGUUGUUCGGAAUUAUUGGGCGUAAAGGGCAUGUAGGCGGUUAUAUAAGUCUGGUGUGAAAGACUACAGCUUAACUGUAGGAACGCACUGGAAACUGUAUGACUUGAAUCUGUGAGGGGUAACUGGAAUUCCUAGUGUAGGGGUGAAAUCUGUUGAUAUUAGGAAGAACACCGAUGGCGAAGGCAAGUUACUGGCACAUGAUUGACGCUGAGAUGCGAAAGCGUAGGGAGCGAACAGGAUUAGAUACCCUAGUAGUCC
rnacentral:rRNA from 1 species